GAUGAAGAACGUAGUGAAAUGCGAUAAGUAAUGUGAAUUGCAGAAUUCAGUGAAUCAUCGAGUCUUUGAACGCACAUUGCGCCCCCUGGUAUUCCGGGGGGCAUGCCUGUCCGAGCGUCAUUGCUGCCCUCAAGCACGGCUUGUGUGUUGGGCCCCCGUCCCCGGUUUCCCCCGGGGACGGGCCCGAAAGGCAGCGGCGGCACCGCGUCCGGUCCUCGAGCGUAUGGGGCUUUGUCACCCGCUCUGUAGGCCCGGCCGGCGCCAGCCGACACCCAACUUUAUUUCUAAGGUUGACCUCGGAUCAGGUAGGGAUACCCGCUGAACUUAAGCAUAUCAAUAAGCGGAGA
rnacentral:misc_RNA from 1 species